rnacentral:snRNA from 10 species
CCCCUUACCUGGCGGGGGACAGGCCGUGGUCAGGAAGGGGGUUCUCCCUGGACGAGGCUAGUCCACUGCACUUCGGCGGCGCUGACCCCUGCGAUUUCCCCACACGCGGGGCCCUGAUCUGCGGUGGUGUUA